AUUGAACGCUGGCGGCAGGCCUAACACAUGCAAGUCGAGCGGUAGCACAGAGAGCUUGCUCUCGGGUGACGAGCGGCGGACGGGUGAGUAAUGUCUGGGAAACUGCCUGAUGGAGGGGGAUAACUACUGGAAACGGUAGCUAAUACCGCAUAAUGUCGCAAGACCAAAGUGGGGGACCUUCGGGCCUCAUGCCAUCAGAUGUGCCCAGAUGGGAUUAGCUAGUAGGUGGGGUAAUGGCUCACCUAGGCGACGAUCCCUAGCUGGUCUGAGAGGAUGACCAGCCACACUGGAACUGAGACACGGUCCAGACUCCUACGGGAGGCAGCAGUGGGGAAUAUUGCACAAUGGGCGCAAGCCUGAUGCAGCCAUGCCGCGUGUGUGAAGAAGGCCUUCGGGUUGUAAAGCACUUUCAGCGGGGAGGAAGGCGUUAAGGUUAAUAACCUUGGCGAUUGACGUUACCCGCAGAAGAAGCACCGGCUAACUCCGUGCCAGCAGCCGCGGUAAUACGGAGGGUGCAAGCGUUAAUCGGAAUUACUGGGCGUAAAGCGCACGCAGGCGGUCUGUCAAGUCGGAUGUGAAAUCCCCGGGCUCAACCUGGGAACUGCAUUCGAAACUGGCAGGCUAGAGUCUUGUAGAGGGGGGUAGAAUUCCAGGUGUAGCGGUGAAAAUGCGUAGAGAUCUGGAGGAAUACCGGUGGCGAAACGCGGCCCCCUGGACAAAGACUGACGCUCAGGUGCGAAAGCGUGGGGAGCAAACAGGAUUAGAUACCCUGGUAGUCCACGCCGUAAACGAUGUCGAUUUGGAGGUUGUGCCCUUGAGGCGUGGCUUCCGGAGCUAACGCGUUAAAUCGACCGCCUGGGGAGUACGGCCGCAAGGUUAAAACUCAAAUGAAUUGACGGGGGCCCGCACAAGCGGUGGAGCAUGUGGUUUAAUUCGAUGCAACGCGAAGAACCUUACCUGGUCUUGACAUCCACAGAACUUAGCAGAGAUGCUUUGGUGCCUUCGGGAACUGUGAGACAGGUGCUGCAUGGCUGUCGUCAGCUCGUGUUGUGAAAUGUUGGGUUAAGUCCCGCAACGAGCGCAACCCUUAUCCUUUGUUGCCAGCGGUUAGGCCGGGAACUCAAAGGAGACUGCCAGUGAUAAACUGGAGGAAGGUGGGGAUGACGUCAAGUCAUCAUGGCCCUUACGACCAGGGCUACACACGUGCUACAAUGGCAUAUACAAAGAGAAGCGACCUCGCGAGAGCAAGCGGACCUCAUAAAGUAUGUCGUAGUCCGGAUUGGAGUCUGCAACUCGACUCCAUGAAGUCGGAAUCGCUAGUAAUCGUAGAUCAGAAUGCUACGGUGAAUACGUUCCCGGGCCUUGUACACACCGCCCGUCACACCAUGGGAGUGGGUUGCAAAAGAAGUAGGUAGCUUAACCUUCGGGAGGGCGCUUACCACUUUGUGAUUCAUGACUGGGGUG
rnacentral:rRNA from 1 species